UGGGGUGUGGCUCCGUGGUAGAGAGCUUGCCUAGCACGCAUAAGACCCUGGGUUUGAUCCUCAGCACCACAU
rnacentral:tRNA from 1 species